AAUAUUGUGGUGAUUUGGACAACCAGCUUGCAGCCACUUUAAAUAAUUAUAGCUAAAAGGUUGGUG
rnacentral:ncRNA from 1 species